rnacentral:rRNA from 1 species
GACGGAGGGUGCUAGCGUUGUUCGGAAUCACUGGGCGUAAAGGGCUCGUAGGCGGCCAACUAAGUCAGACGUGAAAUCCCUCGGCUUAACCGGGGAACUGCGUCUGAUACUGGAUGGCUAGAGGUUGGGAGAGGGAUGCGGAAUUCCAGGUGUAGCGGUGAAAUGCGUAGAUAUCUGGAGGAACACCGGUGGCGAAGGCGGCAUCCUGGACCAAUUCUGACGCUGAGGCGCGAAAGCUAGGGGAGCAAACGGG